rnacentral:rRNA from 1 species
GAUGAACGCUGGCGGCGUGCCUAAUACAUGCAAGUCGAGCGAACAGAUCAGGAGCUUGCUCCUUUGACGUUAGCGGCGGACGGGUGAGUAACACGUGGGUCACCUCCUUAUCUGACUGGUAUAACUACGGGAAACCGGGGAUAAUGCCGGAUAACAUUCAGAACCGCAUGGUUGUAAAGUGAAAGAUGGUUUUGCUAUCACUUAUAGAUGGACCCGAGCCGUUUUAGCUAGUUGGUAAGGUAACGGCUUACGAAGGGAAGGAUACGUAGCCGACCUGAGAGGGGGAUCGGCCACACUGGAACGUGACCGCGGUCCAUACUCCUAAGGGAGGCAGCAGUAUGGAAUCUUACGCAAUGGGCGGAAGCCUUACGGAGCAGCGCCGCGUGAGUGAUGACGGUCUUCGGAUCGUAAAACUCUGUUAUUAGUGAAGAACAAAUGUGUAAGUAACUGUGCACUUCUUGACGGUACCUAAUCAGAAAGCCACGGCUAACUACGUG